UGGAGGCUAUUGCUGGGAAGUUGAAAGAAAUGGAAGAAGAUGAAGACAUUGAUGAAGAUUCCGAGAUAAAGGCAGCACACUUUGGGAUUGAUUUUGUUGUGUAGGUUGCGGCAUUGGAGGUUGUUGUUUUGCAACCAAGGCGACACAGCUAACAGACAUGGAGGUGGAUAAGUGUGAGGAGACCACAUUGCAUGAUGUCGACAGUGAGGAGGAGAUGAGUAGGCUUGGCAAUUUUUGAUACGACCCAUGAACACGACACGAAAAAACUAGGUUUGGAUUUGUCACAAUCGAAUUUAGGUCAUAAUUGGGUCGACCCAAUUAUAAUAGUGUUUGGCGGGUUGACCUGCCAACACGAUUAUAACCCGGUAAAAAAAAAAAAAAAAAAUGAAAACUUCAAGAAAGAAGUUGAACCCUAUCCGCACACUUUCAUUUUUCACUGUCUUUCUUUCACUUGUUCAAUCAGAGACUCCGAAUUAGGGGUUCACUCGUGGUUCACGCAACCACACCCAUGAGCCCACGACAGCAACGACGCCUCACAGUCACGGUUUGUGGUUAAGCUGGUCAAUCAUUCAGGCUCUUCACAGUUCACAAUUCGGUGACUUUGGUAAUUCGGUUCACAAUUUGUUGAUUUUGGGUUCAAAUUGUUGUGAGUUGUAACUGUGAUUUAAGGUGGUUGGUCCUUUGUUGUGAGUUGAGAAUGGGUGGAGAAAUUUUUUGGGUUUUUUCUUUUUGUUUUCGAUUUGGGAACUGAAUGGGUUGAAGGAAUUUUUGUAAUUGUUUUGCUUAGAAAUUUCUUUGGGCUAUUCCUCAUAAUGGCCGAAUGGGAAUUUUUUUUUGGAGUUCUCUUUGUUUAUUGGUUGAGCUACCGAUCAGGUUGUUUCUCUUCUCA